CAUGCAGUUCAACUUUGCCAAAAGUUUCAACUGUAGCACUGUAACUAGUUAGUUUACAGCAUGCUGCUGAUUGCUUUAUACGAUAGGGUAUCCACUCUAGUUUAGUGGAGCCUGCACUUAAGAUGGUUUUAUCUUGACCAGAGAGUUUAGCUUAAAAUUAGUUUACAGCUAACUGCAUCUUCUAGGAUUUCUUUGAUCAGGGUUUAGGCCUGCGUGGAAACGAACUGUGCUAUGAGUUGCUUCUGAAAAGGUUGAGACCAGAUCGGCAAUAGGACCGUCAAGGUCCUUGGUACGCUGGUUUACUGGUUCGACCUGUAUGGACAACUGGUUUAGACUUUAGAGCAGUUCCGUACUAAUUAAAGGAAAAAACUUAC
rnacentral:lncRNA from 1 species